rnacentral:rRNA from 1 species
GACGAACCGUGCGAACGUUGUUCGGAAUCACUGGGCUUAAAGGGCGCGUAGGCGGGCUGCCAAGUCUGGGGUGAAAUCCUCCCGCUCAACGGGAGAACGGCCCCGGGUACUGGCGGCCUCGAGGCGGGUAGGGGCGUGCGGAACACUGGGUGGAGCGGUGAAAUGCGUUGAUAUCCAGUGGAACUCCGGUGGCGAAGGCGGCACGCUGGACCCGAUCUGACGCUGAGGCGCGAAAGCCAGGGGAGCGAACGGG